rnacentral:lncRNA from 1 species
AAACACAGCUGACAUUAGUGCUCUUCUGCCUCUGCCAUCCCUGAGACAGCAAGAUCAAUCCCUCCUCUUCCUCUUCAGCCUACUCAACGACAAAGAUUGAGGAUGAAGACCUUUAUGAUGGUCCACUUCCACUUAAUGAACAGUAAAUAUCUUUUCUCUUCCUUAUGAUUUUCAUAAUGUUUUAUUUUCUUUAGCUUACUUUAUUGUAUGAAUACAGUGUAUGUUACAU